AGUCUACACGGGAAUCCCAAUUUACGCCAAUAAACACACCGAUUCAGGAACAGACAGACAGACCGUGCCGUCUGUACAUGGAGCAGAUAGGCAGACACGUGAAUGUCGUGGCACAUUUUGACACGGUCGGCGUUUUGGUUUUGAAUAUGUGUAUAUAAUAUUCAUAUUUGCAGAGCAGUUUACAAAUUGGCCGUCGAUUUUGACUGCUGAAAAAAAGCAAAAAAAAAAAAAAAAAGGAAGAAGGGAUGCUCUUUUGAGAAGAGAGAGCUAAAAAUACACAGAAACGUGCGUGCCGGUGGAAAGAGGAAAAAAGAGUGCAAGCGAGCAAAAGAGGUGUUUCCGGGCACUGUUCAUCCCGUCUUUUUGUUGUAACGCUUGGGGGAGGAAAGAAGAAGAAUAGAGGAAGGUAGGGGAAGAGAUAGAGUAGGUUCCAUUUAUAAAGUCUGAUUGAAUGAACAUAAUUAAUACUACUGAGAUCUGUAACGACGUAAGGGAAAGGUGGCUUUAAAAUCGACAAAAAUGUGCCAAUAUUUUGAGGCGAGACGCUGGCGGUGAAUAGAAGAGGGCGAGAGAGAUCAUUAGACGUACAGUAGACACGCUCAAUAUGAUUAUUAAUGCGCUGCUAUAACGUUGAGUAACAAUAAUAUUGACAAAAUCCACACUUGUAGUCAUUUUAUCAAGGCAGGUGUGCGGGGGAAAACAGGCUUUGCACUGAGAACCGAAGAUAAAUUGGAAAUUAUUGUCCCUCCGAUAAUACAAACCAAAAGCAACGUUGUUUUUGCGUUUGUGUGUUGAUGUGUGUGUGUCUGUAUACACGCACACUGUACACACACUCAAACCAAGCCCGACCAAAAUCAAACUCCUCCUCCCCCCCGCCUCCGUCCGUUCUCUCUCUCCUCCUCUCCCUCCCUCCGGUCCCCUAUGCUCAGUUCGGUGUGUGUCUCCUCAUUCAAAGGGCGAAAGGGUGGGAACAAGUCGUCCAACAAAGCAUGUUCCAGCGCAGACAUGACUUGUCCGUCAGAAAGCGAGAAGAUCGUGAUAAACUGCGGAGGGGUGCGGCACGAGACCUACCGCAGCACCCUCAAGACGUUGCCCGGCACCCGGUUGUCGUGGCUUACCGAGCCGGAUGCGUUUAGCAACUUCGACUACGACCCCAAAUCCGACGAGUUCUUCUUUGACCGUCAUCCAAACACCUUCGCGUUCAUCCUCAACUAUUACCGAACGGGAAAGUUGCACUGUCCGAACGACGUCUGCGGUCCGUUGUUCGAAGAGGAGUUGGCGUUUUGGGGCAUCGAUGAAACAGACGUGGAAGCGUGUUGCUGGAUGAAUUAUCGCCAACACAGGGACGCAGAGGAGGCGCUGGACAGCUUUGAGACCCCCGAACCCGAAGCUCCGGAAGACGACCCCGCGCUAACAGGAGGCGCGGACGGAGACCUAAAGAGACUGUGUAUGCAAGAAGACGGCAGGAAAGCCAGCUGGUGGAGAGUCUGGCAACCCAGAAUUUGGGCGCUUUUUGAGGAUCCGUACUCUUCGAAAUAUGCGCGGUAUGUGGCAUUUGGCUCCCUCCUCUUCAUCCUCAUCUCCAUCUCCACAUUUUGCCUGGAGACGCACGAGGCCUUCAACACCAUCUACAACAAGACGGAGAACGUGACAGUGGGCAACCACACCCGGGUGGAUGUCGUGUUUGAGGUCGUCACCGACAGCUGGCUGACCUACGUGGAGGGCAUGUGUGUCAUCUGGUUCACCAUCGAGGUCCUGCUCCGCGUCAUCUUCUGCCCGGACAAGGCUGAGUUCUUCAAGAGCACCCUCAACAUCAUCGACUUUGUGGCCAUCCUGCCCUUCUACCUGGAGGUGGGGCUGAGCGGCCUGUCCUCCAAGGCAGCCAAGGACGUGCUGGGCUUCCUGCGCGUUGUCCGCUUCGUCCGGAUCCUCCGGAUCUUCAAGCUCACCCGCCACUUUGUGGGCCUCCGGGUCUUGGGCCACACGCUGCGCGCCAGCACCAACGAGUUCUUGCUCCUCAUCAUCUUCCUGGCACUGGGGGUCCUGAUCUUCGCCACCAUGAUCUACUACGCCGAGCGGAUCGGCGCCGACCCCGGCGACCCCACCGCCAGCGCCCACACUAACUUCAAGAACAUCCCCAUUGGGUUCUGGUGGGCCGUGGUGACCAUGACCACGCUGGGCUACGGGGACAUGUACCCAGUCACGUGGUCGGGCAUGUUGGUGGGCGCCCUCUGCGCCCUGGCCGGUGUCCUGACCAUCGCCAUGCCCGUGCCCGUCAUCGUCAACAACUUUGGGAUGUACUACUCCCUGGCCAUGGCCAAACAGAAGCUCCCCAAGAAGAAGAACAAGCAUAUCCCUAGGGCCCCCCAGCCUGGCUCACCCAACUACUGCAAGCCCGACGCCCUGGCCAUGGCCACCGCCUCCCCCCACAGGAUCCUGGGGAACGUGUUGGGCGGGGCUGUCGGGUCAGGAAGCGUAGGGGGGGACUGUCCCCUGGCGCAAGAGGAGAUAAUCGAAAUCAACCGCGCAGACUCCAAGCAGAAUGGAGACGCCGCCAAUGCAGCCCUGGCCAAUGAGGACUGCCCUACCAUCGACCAGGUGCUGGGGCCGGACGAGAAGAGCCCGGCGACGAGCGCGGUGAGCCGCGAGCGCUUCCCUCACGACCGCGCCUGCUUCCUCCUCAGCACCGGCGAGUUCAGAGCCACUGACGGGAAUGUGAGGAAAGCUCCAGAGCUAAUAUUUGCACGUCUACAUCCCUGUCCCCAUGCUUCUCCAUUGCCAUCCCAGUUUAACAGUCAUUUCUCAUCCCAUUCUCAGGACACAUGUACAGUGUAACCAAAGUCUGAUUAGAGCGACAGGCUACGAGAAAUCUCGCAGCCUGAAUAACAUUUCAGGAAUGACUGGGGCUACCAUGCGUCUGGCACCCAUCACCAACUCGCCAUACGAGCCCUACGAGUCCUACGAGUCCCCGGGCCCGCUCCGGCGGUGCCGCUCACCCAUCCCCUCCAUUUUGUAGCGGAAAACGAUUACAGCGGAAAACCAUUGAGCCAACACAGAAAAACAGGCCUUUGCCUGGUAUACCAUAGUAAUAUACUGUAACUGAUGAUAAUGAUAAUAAUGAUCGAUAAUGGUUGCAAUGGAGACAGUUAUGUCCUCUCAGUGGGUGAUAAAAUCUUAUAAACACGGUGUUUAGAUGUGUGCGUGUGUAGAGAACAUAUUUCCAAGAGAAAGAAAAAAAAAUUAAAAAAUGUAUUGAGAAAUAUAAAUAGAAAGAUAAGUAAAGCAAAUAACCAUUUUCAAAAAAUGAUCACAUUGACUAGUAGCUUUAAUCCACAAGUCUUUGAUGAAUAUUAUCUAUUCUUCAUGCUUUUAAACAUACACAUCAAAAAUUCCCCUGACAACAUGACACAAUCAUUACUGCUGUCUAUCAAAAUCUUUUCUUGUUAAUUUUUGCCCAAGAAAGGGGCUAAUGACAUAUAACAUUCAUGCAGUACCUCUAAUAUGAUCACAAUAUUACAAUGUGGCAGAAAAAAUAUAAAACAGUUUACAAAUGGAUACGUAAUGAAUAGUUAUUUAAUAAGUAGAUCCCUCUAAAUUAAAAAAGAAUAUUGUUAAGAAAGAAUGUAGAUUUUUGAUUAACUUUUCUGAGGAGGGUGCAUGUCAUUCUUAAUUUUACAGUUAGGAGAUAAAAUGUAGUCAGUUUGCCUCACAGUAUUAUCUGUAUGCCCCACCUGCUCAGUGUACGACUGCAAUACAUUCAUUCAGUUACAUUUAUUUAAAGUUUAGUGAUUUAAAAGGGCUGCUGAUUUGUCUCUCAGGCAGACUUGAGUGUGCUCAUUUGAAAGGCGGUUUCUUUAGAUCCUUAGUGCUGAGCCGCAAGACAGUGCCCAGUAGUUCCGUUUGAUUAACGAGCCACAUAUACACUUAGCAACCACCUCCCUGGAUUAAUUCUGCAUGGAGUCACACACACGGAAAGGGAAACAAAAAAACAAUACAAAAUGAAAUCACAAAAAAGGAGGAAAACGUUGAACUAUUUUGAAUGGUUGCUAAGGCUAAGCAAAGAAGGACACAGUCCUGCACCAAUGAAGCUAGCUUUUUAAUGGAUUGUCAAUAGCUGUCACUAAUUCAAAAGUAGCAAGUCACUUUACUAACGAUCACGUGUAUAUGUAAGUAUCGAAUACAUAUAAUAUAUGCCACAUGCAUACACACACCAUGCUUUAACAUGAGAAAACACCCUGCGUAACGCAAAAAAUAAAGUAUACUUUUUAAAAGGGCAUUCAAAAAAAUUAUUAUCAUUAUCAUUAUUAAUAUUAUUACUAAUAAUAGGAGUAGAACGACAGACUCCUCUAGAAGCUUUUGCGCUAUACAAAGAUUCUUAAACCAAUGCGAUGGCAUUAUGAGUAUCCACACGAAUGAUGCAGAGUAUGACACUGAAGAACUGUCAGUGGAGAUAUCGCGAAGAAGAAUAUUAAAGCAGUCCACUAUGUUUCUAACAGGGAGGGAAGGGUGAGGAUGGACUGCAAGCUUUCAUUUAUUUUUCAAAAUGUGUCUUUUUUUGGGGGGUGGGUGGUGGAGGGGAGGAGACUCCAUGCUUUUCCUUUUGGGAGGAAUGCUUUUGGAACGCUGCUCCCAGUCAUCCCACUGCAAAGACUGGAGGACCGGAGAGGGAAAAGGGAUAUAAUGCUCCUCACCCCCCCCAUUCAGAUGCAUGAUGGAAUAUGCCGUUUUUUUAUUUUUAUUUUUAUUGUAGUCCAUCACAAAUAUACAUAUCAAUCCACAGUAUUUCUCUGAAACCCACCCCUGCCCCUCCUGCCCCCCCCCCCCCCCCCCCCCCUCCCCCCUUCUGGUUCCUAUCAUUAACGCUACUAGAUGUGAACUGGAUUUUACACAUAUAGGUAUAUAGGUAUAAGUAUUUGUUAAGAUUUGGUUGAACUUUACUUUUUAUUAUAAGACUGAGUCUUAUCAUUUAGAUGCAGUGGACUUUUAGUUCUUUUUUUGUUUUCUUUUCCGUUGCUUUUCUUUUCACCUCGUUCUCCAUCCCCCCUUUCUUCUGGAACGCUGAUCUUCAAAUUUAAAGUGGGAUCGAUGAACAGACGUUGGACUGACAGCGGUUGGUAGACAAAGAAAAAGAUGACUGAAGUUUUUUUUAGAAAGCAUACAUAUACAUUUAUAUAAAUAUGCAAUGUUUGUGUAUUCAUGUGGAUGUGUAUGUAUCACACAGUAGAGAUAUCCUGCAGGUAUAUAUCUGCAUAUGUUGUUUUAAAAUGUAUAUCUAGAUAUACAUCUGCUCUUUCAAUAUAUAUUUUUAUUUUUUUGACUUGAGACGCAAUGUAUGGACUCAAUAUGCAAUCAACCUGUUCUGUUUUGUUACUGCUCUCUAAAAGAAGGGAUGGAAAAAGCAGAGAAAGAGCCUCCCCCACUGGAGAGGACAGCAGGACGACAGACGCCAGAGAUCAGCAUUUUGAUUUUUGAUUUUUUCACUUUUUCUAUCAUUUACAUAAAAAUAGGACAAUAAUAAUGUAAUGAUAAGAGCCUAUUUUUAUACCCAUAUUGUUAUAAUUAUGUGCGUGGUCAUUCCACUUAGAGAGCAAACUUUUUUUAGUCAAGAAUUUAUUUGCAGAAUAAGUCUUAUUUUUCUAAUCGAUGGUUUCCUUUUUCUUUCUCACACAUUUGGAAUAUACAUGUUUAUUAGUCUUUGUUCCUGACCUAUACAUCUGUAUUAGCAUAUAAGGAUGUUUCCCUUUAAUUUAAUUGAUUUAUGGCGCUUUAGCAGUUUUUUUUAAUUGCUAAUUUUUUAUUUAUUUCGCUAGAGGUCCCCUCUGGCCCCAUUCUCUUUCUUUCACCAUCCCCCUUUUUCCUCACAACGAAAAAAAGAGAAAUACAAAUUGAUUGAGUAAGGUUGCAUUCUCCUCCAACAAUCGAAUGAUUGAAUGCUGGAUCUAUAGGCCCCCCUCAGAAAGCUGUAAUUCGUUCUGGUGGAGGGUGAACACAGUCCAUAAGGGCCUAGCCGAAGGAGCCCUGAUGCUAACCGCUAUCCUGCCGCACUGACAAACGGCUCCAUAUCAUUCGGACCCGAAGCCAAGCCACUUUGACACUUUGAGCCGCCGACAACCAGUCACCUGAAUCAGUGUCACAAGCGCAAAGCUUGACAUUAAAGCUCACUCUCAGACCAGAGCGGAUUUAGUCCACCGUUACGUUCUGGACAUGUACUCUCUAACAUUACAUUACCUUGAUUUUAAGUUAUCUAAACUAGAAAAGCAGUGGAGUCUAUAUGCACGGUGUUUGUACUAAAAAGUAGGGUUUUUUUGCGGUUUUAUUAUUCAAAGGUCUGGCACUAGUAGCUCCCAACAAUAUGAUUUCUUAAUUUCUUAAUUCUAGUAUGUAGUCAUUCAAGUUCAAGUUAAAUUUCAAUGAAAUGAAGACAACUGCACCCAAAGUCGUGCUUUCUUUUAGAGAUACUGGUUUUGAUGAGCCGUCUGGGCUGUGAUGGCAGAGAAAGCAACUUUGCUCAAUUAUUUUAGCAAAAAGUAGAAAGAAAAAAAAGUAAAAAAUAAAAAAAACUCAGGACUCUUGAAAUUUUAAACCAUAUCAUUUCCAAAGUAAAGGCCAUUCGGGUGUGUUGGGAGUUUGCGGUGAAACGUGAGAACAGCGUCGGCCAGUGACUAGAGACUUAUAUAACUUGACCCACAGAGUAGCACUCGGUAUGUUUUAAAGGGUGUUACGUCAUUGUAUGAAAUGUACAUAUCUGUGUCUAUCUCUGUAUAUGUGAGCUUAUUUAUGAUUUCAAAGAACACGUUUUUAUACAUGUGCAGUGCAGGAGGGGGGAGCCAAAUGAACAGGGGGUCGAAUCUCUCCUGCUCUUUCUCUUCCUCUCGCUCUCUUCCUCUAUUUCCCUGCACCCCCCUCUCCUUCCUCCUCCUCUUCCUCUCCUCCUGCUCCUCCUCCUCUCCAUGUGUUUGUGCUGAGUGAGGGCGCUCAGAUUAGGCCUGUCGGCCUAAACUACAUGUAUAGUUUUCAACUUGUGUUUGUUAUUUCUACAUGCAUGGGGUUUCCAUUGCGAGCAAUAAGAAAUUAAUAUGUCUGUAUUAUCUACAUUAUAAUCUAUGAGUAUGUUUUGAUAAGACAAAUAAUUUUAUCUAAUGGUGUAUGUAUAACUGUGUACAUAUGUGUAUGUAUAUGUUUAUAUAUACAUACUGGCUGACUGCAUGCUUGAAAAGAAUGGACAGAUGAUUUGUUACCAUUCCUCUUGCUGUUCUGAUUGACAGGCAAGAGGCGGGGCUUGUAUCUGCAUGCUAACAGCCUGUUGGGUGGGAGAGAUGUUUAUUACUGCAGAAGGGUGGGAUAUUUGGGAUAGUACUAUUUUUUAAAGGGCAGGGGCGGGGGAAAUGGUGGGAUAAUAUAUAACACUUAUUCUAAGUAUAUUUUCUCUUUUUUCAUGAUUUAUUAUAAUAAGUAAUACUAUUAUUUUAUGAUUUGUCCCUUUUCAUCUUUUUUCACAGAGAACUAUUCUGAAAGCCCAGUGCUUAUCAGAUAUAUGCAAAAUGAAGCAGUUACUGUGAAUUAAUGCUAAAACAGAAAAAAAAAAAACACUUCUUCCUUCACGUGUUUUACCCUAUUUUUUUAUCAGCAUCAGCCCCUCCCUUCCACCCGACAUCCUCGCUCUCCCUUUACUCUCUUACUUUCUCUCCAUCUGUCUCUCAUCCCGUCUUCCCUCGUACUGGAGAUGUCUUGAAACACAGACAAAGCCAAGAAGCUCCUCAAAUUUAAAUGUAGCAUUGGUGUUCCUCCCGAGUCUUAAAGAUCGGAUUUGAGGGUCGUUGUCACACCCGGCAAUGUUGUGCCCGUGUCAUGAUAUCUGACUGCAAAAAUGACGGCCUACUGACAGCGAAGCUAACGGCUCAGCACCCACACUGAGCCUGGAGGGCUUCACAUCAGCCUCAGAGCGUGAAUAAUUCAGACGAGGGUCCGUGCUUAAGUAUGCAGUACCGUUAAAUAACGUUGCCUUGUGACCACAUUAGCAGUUAACUGUUUGUACAUUGCACCAUUACUACCAUUCGGGGCAGAAGAUACCUCUUCAUUCCCAAUGUUACGAGCAGUUAGAUGUAUUUUCAUAUCAGAAUGUUGGAUUGGGUGUUAUCUUCUAGGGAUUAGCGCAGCCCCACUUGGUGUGCUGUAGCCCCAGCGGCUAAAACCAACAGAACUGCAUGAUCGAGCUUAUUUAAUACAUUUUUGCAAUUUGUGGUUUGCGUAUAUUCUCAACGGGCCACGGACGAAUAGGCAGAGCACUGAGAUGCCGUUCUCUAGAAGUGAGUCUGUGCAGAGGUAUCGCAACCUGUGCAGACGGCCAUGCUGGUAGUGGGUAGUGUUGAUAAAUGAUAUUUUGUAUAAUGCAUUCAUCGGAAACUGUGGAAGAAAUUUUCAAUGAUUUCAUCAGAAUAUAGAAAUCAUUUAUUAUAUAAAUACUCAUAUACCAAAUACCACUUAAUGAGCUAAUAAUGCAGUUGCAUCCAAAUGCCAUGCUUCAUGAGUGUCUGUGGUCACUGUGUGAAAUGCACAACAUUAGUAUCUGUGGUGGGCAUUGCAGGGACUCUGCUCUGCAGUACUGUGCUGAAUAUGGGGAGGGUGCUCCUUAACAUAGACGGGAAGGAACUGACUUCAUCUGGACCGUUGACCAAAUCCAUUGGCUCCUCCCCAUAAAGUAAUGUAGCCAUUGCACCGCCAUUGGCUUGGAAUUUAUGACUGUGUUAGCGUUGCCAGGUUACGUGGUUCAGGCUUCCUCUGAUCCGGGCAGGAGGUCAUUGUGGCAUUCUUCUUCUUCCCUUCUGAGCUUAGCGAGACCGAGGCUGAGCAGUGCAGUGUUGAGGCCUCCGCUGCAUAGAGUCCAAUACAGGUUGGGGGGGGGGGGUCACGGCCAUUGAAGCCGCAGUGCGGAGGACUGAGCCGGGAGUUUGAGCUUCCUAGUGAAUCCAGCCGUAGUCGGUGCUCUGCGGAGGUUUCAGUUACGCCAAAUCUAUCCAUUCUUUAGCCCCAAACGAUAUGGACACGUGGACUCCCGGUGGUGGUGGUUUAUUUAUUUGCGUUGAUUUUCACUACAUCUCCUUACCACUCCCACUGCUCACUCAAUCUAUAUCUCUGUUGAUCCCAUCCCUGACCAAAACUCAGGAAUCCCCCCUCCAUCCGCUCCCCCCCUUCUCUGCCGUUUCUCUCUCAGUGCUUCCGCUGCUCCUUCCGAAAUUGAAGAGGGAGCUUCAAAAGGUUUUCUUCUUACUCUUAAGUAACUGUAUCCACCUCUCUCCUGCUACUUUAACUCAGUAUACUUAAAUAUGGCCUUAAAAGGUUCAUUUUUUUCUUCUUCUUCAUAUCAUUUGUGGUUGUACCCUAUUUCUUUCCGUUUUGUAAACGUCGAUAUUUUUAUUUGUCUCGUCUGCCGAUCCGUCUCCCCACAUCUCUCUUUCCGUUUCCGUUUCUCUUCCAUCUACUCCUUCUUCUUAUUCCCCUUUUUCUUGGUAUUUUUUACACGUAACUCCACUGCUUCCAUGGGUGGGGUGGACAAACAAACUCUAAAACCUAAAAUAAGAAAAACAACAAAAUUGGGGGAAAGAAAUCAACAAAAAGCUCAAAAUUGAAAUCUUCCCAAAAACGGAUUACCAGCUACAGAAAACAAGAAUAGAAAUGGACAGAGUAAAACAAAAAAAGAAUGAAAAGAAAGAAAGAUGGACAGAUUUUAUGUUCUGGGGGACGAGUAGGAACUAUAUAUUAAAAAGAGGAUUGUCAACAAAGGAAGAAGGAGGGAUGUCAUGGAGAUCAAUUUGUGGACGAAGGAAAAGAACAAAAGAAUGGACAAAAGACACUGAUGGCUUCUCAGUGUAAGAAUUCUUGAGUUUUUAAAAUCCCCUUUUUGCCUGAAGAAGAAAAAAAACGAGUGAGAAAGCAAAAGAGAGAGAGAGAGAGAACGUGUGUGUGGAUGACAACAGGAAGACAUUCAGAAGAGAAGACGAAUGAAGUCUGACUUUUUGCACCGUAACCAAAGCAACCUCAUUGGGACUUGAGUCAGGCAGAGAGCUGGACAUUCUCACCGACAGA